AACCAGCUGUUGAGCCUUAUACCAUUGGAAAGAUAUGAAAGUUAGCUUUCAGAGGAAUUUUACGGUUCGUGAUUCCGAGUUUCCUAGAAGACGUUAUAGUGGGUUUUGUACCGGAUGUCCGCCAGCAAGAUUUUACGCGGGAUUUGCAAAGAGAUUUCAGAUUUACAAAGUUUAACUAAAGGAAACAAGCAGAGUAAAAAAAAAGGAAGCUUUUAGAAGAGUUAAAGACUAUUCUAAACGGUGCAUAGCUAAUAUAUUUAAUAGUUUAGUGUGCCACAUCAUCAACGAACUAAUCCAAGUCAGAAGAUAAAUUCAAGAGUCCCAUUCAAGUAAGUAUGCCAGCAAUUAUUCAGGAAAAAAAGAGGGCAGACCGGGGACUUUAGGAGGCGGACAGAGAGAGUUUUUG
rnacentral:lncRNA from 1 species